UACGGAGGGUGCAAGCGUUAUCCGGAUUUAUUGGGUUUAAAGGGUGCGUAGGCGGCUUUAUAAGUCUGGGGUUAAAGGCGGCAGCUUAACUGUACGCAUGCCCUGGAAACUGUGAAGCUUGAGUGACUUGGAGGUAGCUAGAAUUCCCUGUGUAGCGGUGAAAUGCAUAGAUACGGGGAGGAAUACCGAUUGCGAAGGCAUGUUACUACGAGUAAACUGACGCUGAUGCACGAAAGCGUGGGGAUCAAACAGG
rnacentral:rRNA from 1 species